rnacentral:rRNA from 1 species
GACGAACGCUGGCGGCGUGCUUAACACAUGCAAGUCGAACGAAGUGGCGAACGGGUGAGUAACGCGUAAUCAACCUGCCCUUCAGAGGGGGACAACAGUUGGAAACGACUGCUAAUACCGCAUACUGAAGGAGGGGAUGGCGUGUGAUUAGCUAGUUGGAGGGGUAACGGCCCACCAAGGCGAUGAUCAGUAGCCGGGUUGAGAGGAUGAACCGGCACAUUGGGACCGGUAAACGGGCCAGGCUCCUAAGGGAGGCAGCAGUGGGGAAUCUUCCGCAAAGGAGGAAAGUCUGACGGAGCAACGCCGGGGGAGGGAUGACGGGCUUCGGGUUGUAAAGCUCUGUUAAUCGGGACGCGGUACCGGAAUAGAAAGCCACGGCUAACUACGUGCCAGCAGCCGCGGUAAUAC